GACGAACGCUGGCGGCGUGCCUAAUACAUGCAAGUUGAGCGCUGAAGGUUGGUACUUGUACCAACUGGAUGAGCAGCGAACGGGUGAGUAACGCGUGGGGAAUCUGCCUUUGAGCGGGGGACAACAUUUGGAAACGAAUGCUAAUACCGCAUAAAAACUUUAAACACAAGUUUUAAGUUUGAAAGAUGCAAUUGCAUCACUCAAAGAUGAUCCCGCGUUGUAUUAGCUAGUUGGUGAGGUAAAGGCUCACCAAGGCGAUGAUACAUAGCCGACCUGAGAGGGUGAUCGGCCACAUUGGGACUGGGACACGGCCCAAACUCCUACGGGAGGCAGCAGUAGGGAAUCUUCGGCAAUGGACGAAAGUCUGACCGAGCAACGCCGCGUGAGUGAAGAAGGUUGUCGGAUCGUAAAACUCUGUUGGUAGGGAAGAACGUUGGUGAGGGUGGAAAGCUCAUCAAGUGACGGUAACUACCCAGAAAGGGACGGCUAACUACGUG
rnacentral:rRNA from 1 species